rnacentral:rRNA from 1 species
UACGGGGGGGGCAAGCGUUGUUCGGAAUUACUGGGCGUAAAGGGCUCGUAGGCGGCCAACUAAGUCAGACGUGAAAUCCCUAGGCUCAACCUAGGAACUGCGUCUGAUACUGGAUGGCUUGAAUCCGGGAGAGGGAUGUGGAAUUCCAGGUGUAGCGGUGAAAUGCGUAGAUAUCUGGAGGAACAUCGGUGGCGAAGGCGGCAUCCUGGACCGGUAUUGACGCUGAGGCGCGAAAGCCAGGGGAGCAAACGGG